rnacentral:rRNA from 1 species
AACUCUUAGCGGUGGAUCACUCGGCUCGUGCGUCGAUGACGAACGCAGCUAGCUGCGAGAACUAAUGUGAUUUGCAGGACACAUUGAUGCGCUGGAAAAUGACGCUAACGCAGCGUUGCUAACGGCAACCGGAUGAUCC